rnacentral:lncRNA from 1 species
GGUAACCGAAGCAAAUCAUCAGUGCCUGUCCUUGAACUUGGUGAAACUGUCUCAGCCUCAUGACCUGUGGUACUGGACAGAGACCACAAUACCUUGUCUACCCGGAGUGCCUGGAGCACUGUCUGCAGUUAGCUCCUGGAGGCUUGUCCUCAGUAGGCUUAGGGCAUGAGGAGCCCUGGAAAGCCCAGGAACCCAUGGAGGGCCCUGGAGAAACAGCACCUGUGGCUGAGGGGUUCACAGGCCCGACAGGAUCCACUCGGGAAACAUUUAUGUCUCCAUCCAGCCUGGACGAGUGAAGCUGCCAGGGUGCCUCUACUCCUCCGGCAGAAGGGGGCAGUAACUCCACAAUCACAGCUGCUGGAGGAAUUCACCUCCAUGUCAUCACGAUCCCCCAGAAGCAUUUGCUUCCCAUUCUUGCCUUGAAAGAUGUGAAUCGUAAACACCGGUUUCUGUAGGCACCACUGAUUUCCUGAUUUAGUUUUGAUCAACCUCUGGAGGAGGAAAUGCAUUCAGCAUCAUAUUAUACAUGGAAAAAGAAGAAAUCUGGAUAUAGACACAGACGUACACACAUGCACACAUAUGGAGAAAACUGUGUGAAGAUGAUGGCAGAGCCAGAAGGAUGCCUCUACAAGACAACGGACACCAGAGAUUGCCAGCAACCACCAGAAGCUGGGGGGGCCAGGAGCUGGUGCUCCCUCCAAGCCUCAGGAGGGACCAGCCCUGCCCACACCUUGAUGCUGGACCUCCAGCUGAGAGAGUACAUUCCUGUAGGAAGAACAAGGACUUGGAAGUCAAAUAAGCUUAGAGCAAUUCUGCCUAACUGUGGGACUUUGAGUAAAAUUUCUUGGCUUCUUGGGACCUCAGUUUGUAAAUUGGGCGUGUCAUCCUUCCCUCAUAGGUCAUCAAGAGGAAAUGCACUGUCCUGCACAAGCAUGGCGCCCAAGGCUUGGCACUUGGGGGGCCACUCAUGGGAGCCCACUUUCGUGACCCCUCUUCCUACUGGGAAGAGUAGGGGAACCAUGGGAGGCAGGUCCUGCUAUCUGUUGAGCAGCACCUUCCAACCCUGA